rnacentral:rRNA from 1 species
CUACGGGAGGCACCAGUGGGGAAUAUUGCACAAUGGGCGCAAGCCUGAUGCAGCCAUGCCGCGUGUAUGAAGAAGGCCUUCGGGUUGUAAAGUACUUUCAGCGGGGAGGAAGGGAGUAAAGUUUAUACCUUUGCUCAUUGACGUUACCCGCAGAAGAAGCACCGGCUAACUCCGUGCCAGCAGCCGCGGUAAUACGGAGGGUGCAGGCGUUAAUCGGAAUUACUGGGCGUAAAGCGCACGCAGGCGGUUUGUUAAGUCAGAUGUGAAAUCCCCGGGCUCAACCUGGGAACUGCAUCUGAUACUGGCAAGCUUGAGUCUCGUAGAGGGGGGUAGAAUUCCAGGUGUAGCGGUGACAUGCGUAGAGAUCUGGAGGAAUACCGGUGGCGAAGGCGGCCCCCUGGACGAAGACUGACGCUCAGGUGCGAAAGCGUGGGGAGCAAACAGGAUUAGAUACCCCAGUAGUC